rnacentral:rRNA from 1 species
GAUGAACGCUGGCGGCGUGCCUAAUACAUGCAAGUCGAGCGAACGGACGAGAAGCUUGCUUCUCUGAUGUUAGCGGCGGACGGGUGAGUAACACGUGGAUAACCUACCUAUAAGACUGGGAUAACUUCGGGAAACCGGAGCUAAUACCGGAUGAUAUUUUGAACCGCAUGGUUCAAAAGUGAAAGACGGUCUUGCUGUCACUUAUAGAUGGAUCCGCGCUGCAUUAGCUAGUUGGUAAGGUAACGGCUUACCAAGGCAACGAUGAAUAGCCGACCUGAGAGGGUGCUCGGCCACACUGGAACUGAGACACGGCCCAGACUCAUACGGGAGGCAGCAGUAGGGAAUCUUCCGAAAUGGGCGAAAGCCUGACGGAGCAACGCCGCGUGAGUGAUGAAGGUCUUCGGAUCGUAAAACUCUGUUAUUAGGGAAGAACAUAUGUAAGUAACUGUGCACAUCUUGACGGUACCUAAUCAGAAAGCCACGGCUAACUACGUG